AUUGAACGCUGGCGGCAGGCCUAACACAUGCAAGUCGAGCGGCAGCGGGAAAGUAGCUUGCUACUUUUGCCGGCGAGCGGCGGACGGGUGAGUAAUGCCUGGGAAAUUGCCCAGUCGAGGGGGAUAACAGUUGGAAACGACUGCUAAUACCGCAUACGCCCUACGGGGGAAAGCAGGGGACCUUCGGGCCUUGCGCGAUUGGAUAUGCCCAGGCGGGAUUAGCUAGUUGGUGAGGUAAUGGCUCACCAAGGCGACGAUCCCUAGCUGGUCUGAGAGGAUGAUCAGCCACACUGGAACUGAGACACGGUCCAGACUCCUACGGGAGGCAGCAGUGGGGAAUAUUGCACAAUGGGGGAAACCCUGAUGCAGCCAUGCCGCGUGUGUGAAGAAGGCCUUCGGGUUGUAAAGCACUUUCAGCGAGGAGGAAAGGUCAGUAGCUAAUAUCUGCUGACUGUGACGUUACUCGCAGAANAAGCACCGGCUAACUCCGUGCCAGCAGCCGCGGUAAUACGGAAGGUGCAAGCGUUAAUCGGAAUUACUGGGCGUAAAGCGCACGCAGGCGGUUGGAUAANUUA
rnacentral:rRNA from 1 species